rnacentral:rRNA from 1 species
UACGAAGGGGGCUAGCGUUGCUCGGAAUUACGGGGCGUAAAGGGCGCGUAGGCGGCCAGAUUAGUCAGGCGUGAAAGCCCUGGGCUCAACCUGGGGACUGCGCUUGAUACGGUUUGGCUUGAGGACGGAAGAGGCUCGCGGAAUUCCCAGUGUAGAGGUGAAAUUCGUAGAUAUUGGGAAGAACACCGGUGGCGAAGGCGGCGAGCUGGUCCGUACCUGACGCUGAGGCGCGAAAGCGUGGGGAGCAAACAGG